CCCUUAGAUGUUCGGGGCCGCACGCGCGCUACACUGAAGGAAUCAGCACGUCUUUCUCCUUGUCCGAAAGGACUGGGUAACCCGCUGAACCUCCUUCGUGCUAGGGAUUGGGGCUUGUAAUUCUUCCCCAUGAACGAGGAAUUCCCAGUAAGCGCGAGUCAUCAGCUCGUGCUGAUUACGUCCCUGCCCUUUGUACACACCGCCCGUCGCUCCUACCGAUUGAGUGAUUCGGUGAAUAAUUCGGACUGCAGCAUUGCUUGGAUUCCGAGCUUUGCAGCGGAAAGUUUAGUGAACCUCAUCACUUAGAGGAAGGAGAAGUCGUAACA
rnacentral:rRNA from 1 species